UUAUGGCCAUAUCACAUUGGAACACCAGUUCCCAUAUGAUCAUUGAAGUUAAGCUAUGUUGAGCAUGGCCAAUACUUAGAUGGAUGACUGCUUGGGAAUAUCAGAU